rnacentral:rRNA from 1 species
GGUGGAGCGAUUUGUCUGGUUUAUUCCGAUAACGAACGAGACUCUGGCCUACUAACUAGUGACAGGAUUAUUGCUGUCCUGGUUACUUCUUAGAGGGACAAGCGGUGUUCAGCCACACGAAAUUGAGCAAUAACAGGUCUGUGAUGCCCUUAGAUGUCCGGGGCUGCACGCGUGCUACACUGGAGGAAACAGCAUGCAAAACCAUUGCCGAGAGGCAUUGGUAAACCCGAGAAAAUCUUCCGUGAUCGGGAUCGGGAAUUGCAAUUAUUUCCCUUGAACGAGGAAUUCCCAGUAAGUGUGGGUCAUCAGCUCGCGCUGAUUACGUCCCUGCCCUUUGUAC